CUGCUUCUCCCUGAAAGACCAACAUGAAAACUGGCUCUGGAGUGGACAUCCCAGCAAAUUCACCCCAAAGACUGAACAGUCGUUCUUCAUCUGUUUUGCCGCCCAGACAGCCCAUCUCAACUGGAACCAUAGAAACCAGAGGAAUAAAUCCAGUUAGCUUCUGGCCCCGCCUCACCCCACCUUAUUUCAUGAUUUGGUCCAGGAGCACGCCCCC